rnacentral:sRNA from 1 species
GUGCUGCAAUUACAUAUCCUACAAAGCAACCUAUACCAGGAACCACCUCCUUGGCCUGCCCGAUCUCCCUCGGGCAGGCCGAUUU